rnacentral:rRNA from 1 species
UAAGGAAUAUUGGACAAUGGAGGCAACUCUGAUCCAGCCAUGCCGCGUGAAGGAAUAAGGCCCUAUGGGUUGUAAACUUCUUUUAGACGGGACAAAACCCCUUUACGUGUAAAGGGUUGAUGGUACUGUCAGAAUAAGCAUCGGCUAACUUCGUGCCAGCAGCCGCGGUAAUACGAAGGAUGCAAGCGUUAUCCGGAAUUAUUGGGUUUAAAGGGUGCGCAGGCGGACUAAUAAGUCAGUGGUGAAAGCCUGCAGCUUAACUGCAGAAUUGCCAUUGAUACUGUUAGUCUUGAGUACGGUUGAGGUAGGCGGAAUGUGUCAUGUAGCGGUGAAAUGCUUGGAUAUGACACAGAACACCGAUUGCGAAGGCAGCUUGCUAAGCUGUAACUGACGCUGAGGCACGAAAGCGUGGGGAGCAAACA